CGGGACGGGUGAGUAAUGUCUGGGAAACUGCCCGAUGGAGGGGGAUAGCUACUGGAAACGGUAGCUAAUACCGCAUAACGUCGCAAGACCAAAGAGGGGGACCUUCGGGCCUCUUGCCAUCGGAUGUGCCCAGAUGGGAUUAGCUAGUAGGUGGGGUAACGGCUCACCUAGGCGACGAUCCCUAGCUGGUCUGAGAGGAUGACCAGCCACACUGGAACUGAGACACGGUCCAG
rnacentral:rRNA from 1 species